GAUGAACGCUGGCGGCGUGCCUAAUACAUGCAAGUCGAGCGAACAGACGAGGAGCUUGCUCCUCUGACGUUAGCGGCGGACGGGUGAGUAACACGUGGAUAACCUACCUAUAAGACUGGGAUAACUUCGGGAAACCGGAGCUAAUACCGGAUAAUAUAUUGAACCGCAUGGUUCAAUAGUGAAAGACGGUUUUGCUGUCACUUAUAGAUGGAUCCGCGCCGCAUUAGCUAGUUGGUAAGGUAACGGCUUACCAAGGCAACGAUGCGUAGCCGACCUGAGAGGGGGACCGGCCACCUGGAAACUGAGACACGGUCCAGACCCCUACGGGAGGCAGCAGUGGGGAAUCUUCCGCAAGGGGGGAAAGCCUGACGGAGCAACGCCGGGUGGGUGAAGAAGGUCUUCGGAUCGUAAAACUCUUUUAUUGGGGAAAAACAAAUGGGUAAGUAACUAUGCACGUCUUGACUGUACCUAACCAAAAAGCCCCGGCUAACUACGU
rnacentral:rRNA from 1 species